UACGGAGGGUGCAAGCGUUGCUCGGAAUUAUUGGGCGUAAAGGGCACGCAGGCGGCCUGACAAGUCUGGUGUGAAAGAUCCGGGCUCAACUCGGAGAACGCGCUGGAAACUGUCAAGCUAGAGUAUUGGAGGGGGAGUCGGAAUUCCUAGUGUAGGGGUGAAAUCUGUUGAUAUUAGGAAGAACACCGGUGGCGAAGGCGGACUCCUGGCUGAAUACUGACGCUGAGGUGCGAAAGCAUAGGGAGCAAACAGG
rnacentral:rRNA from 1 species